rnacentral:tRNA from 1 species
UGGCACAGUGGUUAAGCACUUGGUUGUUAACCAAAAGUUUAGUGGUUCAAACCCACU